rnacentral:rRNA from 1 species
UACGAAGGGGGCUAGCGUUGCUCGGAAUUACUGGGCGUAAAGGGCGCGUAGGCGGAUAGUUUAGUCAGAGGUGAAAAGCCCAGGGCUCAACCUUGGAACUGCCUUUGAUACUGGCUAUCUUGAGUUCGGGAGAGGUGAGUGGAAUGCCGAGUGUAGAGGUGAAAUUCGUAGAUAUUCGGCGGAACACCAGUGGCGAAGGCGACUCACUGGCCCGAUACUGACGCUGAGGCGCGAAAGCGUGGGGAGCAAACAGG